CUGUCGUCAGACUCGUGUCGUGAGAUGUUGGGUUAAGUCCCGCAACGAGCGCAACCCUCAUCCUUAGUUGCCAUCAGGUAAUGCUGAGCACUUUAAGGAAACUGCCAGUGAUAAGCUGGAGGAAGAUGGGGAUGAUGUCAAGUCAUCAUGGCCUUUAUGAAGUGGGCUACACACGUGCUACAAUGGUGUCUACAGUGGGCUGCAAGGUGCGCAAGCCUAAGCUAAUCCCUAAAAGACAUCUCAGUUCGGAUUGUACUCUGCAACUCGAGUGCAUGAAGUUGGAAUCGCUAGUAAUCGUGGAUCAGCAUGCCA
rnacentral:rRNA from 1 species